UUUUAAAUAAUAAAACUCGUGUGUGUACUUUAUAUAAUAUUCGCCGCCUUUGUAGGUAUAUCACUUUACAAUGGGGCAAUAUAGGUUGUCGACACUGCAGCAAAUGUUAUUUAUGAUAUUUGAAGAUUUAAGCCAGCAACUGAGCUCUGCUGGUGCUUGUACAUAUGUAAAUAUAUAUCUCUAAAUAUAGUUAUUAAAAUCGAAAUAAGCUAACACCAAAAGGCCGCCAAACGACGGGCUAAUGCAUAUCAAAAAUUAUGUACAACCUUCAAUUAUAAUUGUAAUUAAAUAAAUAAUUUUAUUAAAACUGCAA